rnacentral:rRNA from 1 species
AGGAAUAUUGGUCAAUGGGCGCGAGCCUGAACCAGCCAAGUAGCGUGAAGGAUGAAGGUCCUACGGAUUGUAAACUUCUUUUAUAAGGGAAUAAAGUCAUCUACGUGUAGGUGUUUGUAUGUACCUUAUGAAUAAGCAUCGGCUAACUCCGUGCCAGCAGCCGCGGUAAUACGGAGGAUGCGAGCGUUAUCCGGAUUUAUUGGGUUUAAAGGGAGCGUAGAUGGAUGUUUAAGUCAGUUGUGAAAGUUUGCGGCUCAACCGUAAAAUUGCAGUUGAUACUGGAUAUCUUGAGUGCAGUUGAGGCAGGCGGAAUUCGUGGUGUAGCGGUGAAAUGCUUAGAUAUCACGAAGAACUCCGAUUGCGAAGGCAGCCUGCUAAGCUGCAACUGACAUUGAGGCUCGAAAGUGUGGGUAUCAAACAGGAUUAGAUACCCUGGUAGUCCACACGGUAAACGAUGAAUACUCGCUGUUUGCGAUAUACUGCAAGCGGCCAAGCGAAAGCGUUAAGUAUUCCACCUGGGGAGUACGCCGGCAACGGUGAAACUCAAAGGAAUUGACGGGGGCCCGCACAAGCGGAGGAACAUGUGGUUUAAUUCGAUGAUACGCGAGGAACCUUACCCGGGCUUAAAUUGCAGAUGAAUUACGGUGAAAGCCGUAAGCCGCAAGGCAUCUGUGAAGGUGCUGCAUGGUUGUCGUCAGCUCGUGCCGUGAGGUGUCGGCUUAAGUGCCAUAACGAGCGCAACCCUUGUUGUCAGUUACUAACAGGUUCCGCUGAGGACUCUGACAAGACUGCCAUCGUAAGAUGUGAGGAAGGUGGGGAUGACGUCAAAUCAGCACGGCCCUUACGUCCGGGGCUACACACGUGUUACAAUGGGGGGUACAGAGGGCCGCUACCACGCGAGUGGAUGCCAAUCCCCAAAACCUCUCUCAGUUCGGACUGGAGUCUGCAACCCGACUCCACGAAGCUGGAUUCGCUAGUAAUCGCGCAUCAGCCACGGCGCGGUGAAUACGUUCCCG